rnacentral:rRNA from 1 species
UCCCGGUUCAAGCGUGUAGGCGUGCCGCAUAGGCAAAUCCGUGCGGCUUAGCUGAGGCGUGAUGACGAGGUCUCAUCGAGACUGAAGUAGUUGAUACCCCGCUUCCAGGAAAAGCCUCUAAGCUUCAGUUCAAGGUUGACCGUACCGCAAACCGACACAGGUGGGCAGGGUGAGAAUCCUAAGGCGCUUGAGAGAACUCGGGUGAAGGAACUCGGCAAAUUAGCACCGUAACUUCGGGAGAAGGUGCGCCCCGGUAGGUUGUAGUCCCUCGCGGACGAAGGCCGAUGGGGUUGCAGUGAAAUGGUGGCUGCGACUGUUUAAUAAAAACACAGCACUCUGCAAAGAUGAUGAAUCGACGUAUAGGGUGUGACGCCUGCCCGGUGCCGGAAGGUUAAGUGAUGGGGUGCAAGCUCUUGAUCGAAGCCCCGGUAAACGGCGGCCGUAACAAUAACGGUCCUAAGGUAGCGAAAUUCCUUGUCGGGUAAGUUCCGACCUGCACGAAUGGCGUAACGAUGGCCACACUGUCUCCACCCGAGACUCAGCGAAGUUGAAAUGUUUGUGAUGAUGCAAUCUACCCGCGGCUAGACGGAAAGACCCCGUGCACCUUUACUGUAGCUUUGCAUUGGACUGUGAUGGGAUCUGUGUAGGAUAGGUGGGAGGCGUUGAUGGUGUGCCGCUAGGUGCGCCGGAGCCGACGUUGAAAUACCACCCUGAUGUCAUUGCGGUUCUAACCUUGGGCCAUGAAUCUGGCUCGGGGACCGUGCAUGGUAGGCAGUUUGACUGGGGCGGUCUCCUCCCAAAGUGUAACGGAGGAGUGCGAAGGUACGCUUGGCGCGGUCGGACAUCGCGCUGUAAGUGCAAUGGCAAAAGCGUGCUUGACUGCGAGACUGACAAGUCGAGCAGCUACGAAAGUAGGUCAUAGUGAUCCGGUGGUUCUGUAUGGAAGGGCCAUCGCUCAACGGAUAAAAGGUACGCCGGGGAUAACAGGCUGAUUCCUCCCAAGAGUUCACAUCGACGGGGGAGUUUGGCACCUCGAUGUCGGCUCAUCACAUCCUGGGGCUGUAGCCGGUCCCAAGGGUAUGGCUGUUCGCCAUUUAAAGUGGUACGUGAGCUGGGUUUAAAACGUCGUGAGACAGUUUGGUCCCUAUCUGCCGUGGGCGCUGGAAGUUUGAGGGGGGCUGCUCCUAGUACGAGAGGACCGGAGUGGACGUGCCUCUGGUGUACCGGUUAUGACGCCAGUCGUAUCGCCGGGUAGCUAAGCACGGAAGAGAUAACCGCUGAAAGCAUCUAAGCGGGAAACUCGCCUCAAGAUGAGACUUCCCGAGGCCAUGAGCCUCUUAGAGGGUCGUCGAAGACUACGACGUUGAUAGGCGCCGUGUGCAAGCGUGGCAACACGUUCAGCUAAGGCGUACUAAUUGCCCGUACGGCUUGAUCC